rnacentral:rRNA from 1 species
AUUGAACGCUGGCGGCAGGCCUAACACAUGCAAGUCGAGCGGAUGAAGGGAGCUUGCUCCUGGAUUCAGCGGCGGACGGGUGAGUAAUGCCUAGGAAUCUGCCUGGUAGUGGGGGAUAACGUCCGGAAACGGGCGCUAAUACCGCAUACGUUCUGAGGGAGAAAGUGGGGGAUCUUCGGACCUCACGCUAUCAGAUGAGCCUAGGUCGGAUUAGCUAGUUGGUGGGGUAAAGGCCUACCAAGGCGACGAUCCGUAACUGGUCUGAGAGGAUGAUCAGUCACACUGGAACUGAGACACGGUCCAGACUCCUACGGGAGGCAGCAGUGGGGAAUAUUGGACAAUGGGCGAAAGCCUGAUCCAGCCAUGCCGCGUGUGUGAAGAAGGUCUUCGGAUUGUAAAGCACUUUAAGUUGGGAGGAAGGGCAGUAAGUUAGUACCUUGCUGUUUUGACGUUACCAACAGAAUAAGCACCGGCUAACUUCGUG